rnacentral:snRNA from 1 species
CAAUGGCCCACAUUGCACUUGGUGGGUGCGUUGGCCCAUCAUCUCCCCAAGUGGGAGAGUGAACGUCAUAAUUUGUGCUAGAGGGGGUACGCGUUCGCGCGGCCCCUG